AUACGGAGGGUGCGAGCGUUAAUCGGAAUUACUGGGCGUAAAGCGCGCGUAGGCGGUUACAUAAGUCGGAUGUGAAAGCCCUGGGCUCAACCUGGGAAUUGCAUUCGAAACUGGCAAGCUAGAGUAUGGUAGAGGGGGGUAGAAUUUCUGGUGUAGCGGUGAAAUGCGUAGAUAUCGGGAGGAACACCAGUGGCGAAGGCGGCUUCCUGGCCCAAUACUGACACUCAGGUGCGAAAGCGUGGGGAGCAAACAGGAUUAGAUACCCCGGUAGUCC
rnacentral:rRNA from 1 species